rnacentral:antisense_RNA from 1 species
AAAAUCCAUACAAACAUUUAUUCUGUCCCUGCCUGGAAGUGAGGGGGAAGGGGGUCCGGAGAGCCCCGCAGAGGAGGACGGGGCUCUAACGGGAAGACAGUGUCCGGAGUCCGGUGGGCUCCCUCUGGACGGCAGACCCUGGGGCUAACGAGGGGCCAGCUGGGUUCUCAGAGGUCACGGAGUGCAGGGGUGGGGCGGCGAGUGGUGGAAGCCGGCGCCCCCCAAGACAGGCCAGCCCCUGGAGCACAGAGGCGGGUCCAGCCCACACUGGGCUGAGUGUGGCCCUGGCCCCCAGUGGGGUCUGUCCCACCCCCACCCCGCAGGAGGGAAGGCGCAGGAGGGGCAGGAGGGGCUGCGGGCCGGGUGGGGGCGGGCUCUUUCCUGGUCUCCAUCAGCAGCAGUUUCUAGAGACGCCAGAGGGCUGGGGGGCAGAGGGUGGGGACCGG